rnacentral:misc_RNA from 1 species
AAAGUAAGUCGUAAGUGGUUAGUGGUUCGCAAUCGGAGUUCCGAUCACUAAUCACUAGGCACUUAAGUGGCUAGUACGCAAACUGAUGCGUUUGCGGGCGUGGGUCUUUGACAACUGAAUACGGGUAAAGAAAGCUGCAAUGAGCUGAGUAGUAUUGGCGAAUAUGGUCAAGAAAGGAAGGGCAUACGGUGGAUACCUAGGCACACAGAGAAUAAAGG